rnacentral:misc_RNA from 1 species
CCAUAGGUUGGGUCGUGACAGCUCAGGAUAAGAGCAUUCCAGGUACAGUUAGAUGACACUCAUGAGACCAUUUACAACCACAUUUUUUGCCCUAAGGAAAUAAUUAGUCAACAUACUCCCCUGUAAUUAAGGUCCGAAUCUAUGCAUCUAAUAUCUGCAUGUACAACUAGGCACCUUAAAAAUGUACCUUUUGAAAUAGGUAAAGAAAGCUAACCAAUGAAUUAGUAUCAUAUGACUAUAUGAUGUAGAAAAUACUAGGGAUUUUAGGACUACUUAUUUUAGG